rnacentral:rRNA from 1 species
AACUGAAACAUCUAAGUAACCGGAGGAAGAGAAAACAAAAGUGAUUCCGUUAGUAGUGGCGAGCGAACGCGGAUUAGCCCAAACCAGUGUUGUUACGGCAAUGCUGGGGUUGUAGGACCACGAUAUUCGAAGCUAAGUGAAUUAGAACUGUUUGGAAAGACAGACCAUAGAGGGUGAUAGUCCCGUAUAAGUAAGCGAAGAUUAGAUAGUGGUAUCCUGAGUAGUGCGGGACACGAGUAAUCCUGUAUGAAUCCACCGGGACCAUCCGGUAAGGCUAAAUACUCCUGAGAGACCGAUAGUGAACUAGUACCGUGAGGGAAAGGUGAAAAGAACCCUAAGUAAGGGAGUGAAAGAGAUCCUGAAACCGUACGCCUACAAGCGGUCGGAGCACAUUUACUGUGUGACGGCGUGCCUUUUGCAUAAUGAGCCUACGAGUUACUGUUUCUAGCAAGGUUAAAUGUUUAAGACAUGGAGCCGUAGCGAAAGCGAGUCUGAAUAGGGCGCAUAGUUAGUAGUAGUAGACGCGAAACCGAGUGAUCUACCCAUGGGCAGGUUGAAGCUGUGGUAACACACAGUGGAGGACCGAACCAGUUGACGUUGAAAAGUCUUUGGAUGACCUGUGGGUAGGGGUGAAAGGCCAAUCAAACUCGGAAAUAGCUCGUACUCCCCGAAAUGCAUUUAGGUGCAGCGUUGAGCGAAAGUUUUAUAGAGGUAGAGCUACUGAUUGGAUGCGGGGGCUUCACCGCCUACCAAUUCCUGACAAACUCCGAAUGCU